UGUUUCCCACCUUUAUCACAACCAAAUAUUAUUUUGUUACUUCUCCCUCUCUUCCCCGUUUCAGUAUCUGAACGACUGAUAAUAACAGUUACUUUAUUGUCGAUUCCAACCUCUUUAAUCCAUCUGAUAACCUCUUCUCGUGUACCAAAUCUUUCCGUCGUCAUAAAUGCAUCAGUAGUAUCUACACAUAUUUUGGGAAGAUUUUCCAUUUCUGCAAAAAAAAAUUAUAAAAAAAAAAAACGUACCGGAAGACUUAAAGAAAGACUUCCGGAACACACAUAAUACAUACCGGAAC
rnacentral:lncRNA from 1 species